GGGUGAGGCAAAGGUGUCCACUGGAAACAGAGACCUUGAACAGCUGACCGCUGCUGUGAAACUAGUAAAAGAAAAGCAGGAUCUCCAACUAUCUGAGCACAGUGAUAUUCAGAAAAAUGUCGUUCAACAGCAUCUCAAUUCUGACAGAUCUCAGUGGUGCACCACAGGAUCCCUUGGCAGUUGUCUGAGAUGAGAUGAUCACACUAGGUGAGACCCAUUAUAGACUGAGGAGAAAGUGAAUACAGAGAAGAGCAAGAUCUUUGAAGUCUCUGUGCUGAAUUCUGCAUGUGUGCAUAUUACUUCUUCUAUGGACUAUGAUCUAUGGCCAGAGCUAUGGAGUGUGACAAUGGUGUUUGUGUCCAAUCUAUCAAACGCCAUUAUCACACUAAAUAGCUACUGGUAGAUGAGACAUCAAUUCAGAAACGUAUGUGAAUUGUGGUAAUACAUUUUCCCACUGUACUGAGGAAUAAAUGAGCUUUUUACAUGUCA